UACGUAGGGUGCAAGGCGUUGUCCGGAAUUAUUGGGCGUAAAGAGCUCGUAGGCGGUCUGUCGCGUCGGCGUGUGAAAUCCCGAGGCUCAACCUCGGGUCUGCAGUCGAUACGGGCAAACUAGAGUAUUGCAGGGGAGACUGGAAUUCCUGGUGUAGCGGUGAAAUGCGCAGAUAUCAGGAGGAACACCGGUGGCGAAGGCGGGUCUCUGGGCAAUAACUGACGUGAGGAGCGAAAGCGUGGGGAGCGAACAGG
rnacentral:rRNA from 1 species